AAAGUGGUACCAAGGUCUCCGUUGGUGAACCAGCGGAGGGAUCAUUA
rnacentral:rRNA from 1 species